rnacentral:misc_RNA from 1 species
AAAACAAAUUAAAAUUUAGAUAAUGGGAUGAUAGUGAAACAGUGUAUAUACCUCCCUAUAGGCAUAGACCCAAGUUCUAAUCUUGUUCCAGGCCCCUCUUGGAGAGAGUAACCUAUUUGCUAUUGUUAUUCUUCCUUUAAGCAUUCUAUUAGUAGGAAAUUUAAAUGAGUAAAUUUAUGUAGUUUUUCAGUGUAAUUUAGCAAUGUCCUAUUUUAUAAUAUGCUUUUCAUUGUGUUGAUUUAUUUUAGCUGUGAGAGAACUUAGAAUUCUACAUGACAUGAAGGUUGCUUUUGAUGUUCACGCUUUCCCAUCGCGUAUGUCAGGGGCAAUAUGCUGAUCAAUAGCUGCACUGGUAUUUG